UACAGAGGUGGCAAGCGUUGUUCGGAAUUACUGGGCGUAAAGGGCGCAUAGGCGGCCUCGCAAGUCCCGUGUGAAAUCCCUCGGCUCAACUGAGGAAUGGCACGGGAAACUGCGGGGCUUGAGUUCGGGAGAGGGAAGCGGAAUUCCGGGUGUAGCGGUGAAAUGCGUAGAUAUCCGGAGGAACACCGGUGGCGAAGGCGGCUUCCUGGACCGAUACUGACGCUGAGGCGCGAAGGCUAGGGGAGCAAACGGG
rnacentral:rRNA from 1 species